AGUGAACGCUGGCGGUAGGCCUAACACAUGCAAGUCGAACGGUAGCACAGUAAGAGCUUGCUCUUACGGGUGGCGAGUGGCGGACGGGUGUGGAAUAUAUCGGAAUCUACUUUUUCGUGGGGGAUAAAGUAGGGAAACUUACGCUAAUACCGUAUACGACCUACGGGUGAAAGCAGGGGAUCUUCGGACCUUGCGAGAGUGAAUGAGCCGAUGUCGGAUUAGCUAGUUGGCGGGGUAAAGGCCCACCAAGGCGACGAUCCGUAGCUGGUCUGAGAGGAUGAUCAGCCACACUGGAACUGAGACACGGUCCAGACUCCUACGGGAGGCAGCAGUGGGGAAUAUUGGACAAUGGGCGCAAGCCUGAUCCAGCCAUACCGCGUGGGUGAAGAAGGCCUUCGGGUUGUAAAGCCCUUUUGUUGGGAAAGAAAAGCAGCAGGUUAAUACCCCGCUGUUCUGACGUUACCCAAAGAAUAAGCACCGGCUAACUUCGUG
rnacentral:rRNA from 1 species